AAAAAUAUUUUGAAUUGAAACAGUUCAUAUAAACACUUGAUAAGGGGGAUUCUGAAGUGACUGGGUAGGGUUGGCAAUCUAUCUCGUUGUACGCGAGCUGGCUCGUGUUUAAUUCGAAAUAAACUCGAGAUCGAUUUAUUUGUUUAAUAAACGAAUAGAAUACGAACUAAAUUUUUUAACUUAUAUCUUAAUCCCGAACACGAGCGUUCCACUUACUCGCGUUUGCCUCAUAUAUAUUAUAUUUAUAUAUAAUAUGCAUGUAAAAUAUAAAUUUUAACUAUUAAAAAUUUAAAUUUCGAUCUAUAUACUGAUUAACUCAAUUUGAUAAACUAAUCGAGCUAACGGGCUGAACACAAGUCAGCUCGUUUUACUCCAAUUCGAUCAUAAGCUGGGCUUUUUAAGCUCGUCAC
rnacentral:lncRNA from 1 species